rnacentral:rRNA from 1 species
GAUGAACGCUGGCGGCGUGCCUAAUACAUGCAAGUCGAACGCACCACUUCGGUGGUGAGUGGCGAACGGGUGAGUAACACGUAGAUAACCUGCCCUUAAGACGAGGAUAACCGUUGGAAACGAUGGCUAAAACUGGAUAGGAAUAUUGAAGGCAUCUUUAAUAUUUUAAAAGACCUAGCAAUAGGUAUACUUAAGGAGGGGUCUGCGGCGCAUUAGUUAGUUGGUGAGGUGAUGGCUUACCAAGACGAUGAUGCGUAGCCGGACUGAGAGGUUGAACGGCCACAUUGGGACUGAGAAACGGCCCAAACUCCUACGGGAGGCAGCAGUAGGGAAUUUUCGGCAAUGGGGGAAACCCUGACCGAGCAACGCCGCGUGAAUGACGAAGUACUUCGGUAUGUAAAGUUCUUUAUCAAGGAGAAUGACUUAUGGAAAAAUAAGUGUGACGGUACUUGAUGAAUAAGCCCCGGCUAACUAUGUG